UCGAUCCUCGACUGGCUGCCACCGGGUUCUUCAUAUUCUUCUGUCGAGUACGCUGGAUGAGCUAYUUUCUCCGGUCUCUGCUCGGUAGGGGUGGGGUGCUCGGCCCGGCGAAGGUCUUAUUGUGUUUUCACUGUAACCUGCUAUAGACAGGGGGGCGCAGGCCCGGGACUUGCCAUAGACGCCACAUGUCUCCCAUAGGUUGCUGCCUUCGCUGCAGUYGCAUUCGUGUGGCUGUUGGYGGGGGUGGGCGCCGACCGGGUAGCGAGUGUGUAGUCGGCAAGUACCAUGAGCAGGCAUGUUGGGACCCGAAAGAUGGUGAACUAUGCCUGGCCAGGAUGAAGCCAGAGGAAACUCUGGUGGAGGUCCGUAGCGAUUCUGACGUGCAAAUCGAUCGUCAGAGCUGGGUAUAGGGGCGAAAGACUAAUCGAACCAUCUAGUAGCUGGUUCCCUCCGAAGUUUCCCUCAGGAUAGCUGGAACUCGCUCCCAGAUGAAUUUCAUCCGGUAAAGCGAAUGAUUAGAGGUCUUGGGGACGAAACGUCCUCAACCUAUUCUCAAACUUUAAAUGGGUGAGAUGCCGAGCUUGCUUAAAAGCUGAAGCUUCGGCGAAGAAUCGGAGUUCCUAGUGGGCCACUUUU
rnacentral:rRNA from 1 species